rnacentral:rRNA from 1 species
GAUGACCGCUAGCUACAGGCUUAACACAUGCAAGUCGAGGGACCGGCGCACGGGUGAGUAACACGUAUCCAACCUGCCAUUUACUCGGGGAUAGCCUUUCGACAGAAAGAUUAAUACCCAAUGAAAAGGAUGGGGAUGCGUUCCAUGAGGUUGUUGGUGAGUAAACGGCUCACCAAGCCUUCGAUGGAUAGGGGUUCUGAGAGGAAUGUCCCCCACAUUGGAACUGAGACACGGUCCAAUCUCCGACGGGAGGCAGCAGUGAGGAAUAUUGGUCAAUGGGCUUUAGCCUGAACCAGCCAAGUAGCGUGAAGGAUGAAUGCUUAUGGGUCGUAAACUUCUUUUAUAUAAGAAUAUGUAUUAUAUGAAUAAGGAUCGGCUAACUCCGUGCCAGCAGCCGCGGUAAUAC